UUUCGUUUCCAGUGUACAACACUUUUGCUGCGCGUGAAGUCGGUUUUUUCCCGCCUCACAUAUUUCGGGAGAUUGGCAGGGCCCGCUUCUUCUGCACCAAUUGCGGUGGAUUGUGGUCCAAAGAGCAAAAGCAUUGGACGGACCGAUUGAUUCGCCCGUUUCUCGGCUGUCGGACGGUACCGUUCGACGUACGUUGCGAAGGACUUCGACUAUUGAAGGAAGAUGGAGAAGAUGGACCAUCAGUGUCACUCUGUGACUGAAGAAGAUUAUUACGAAUGGCUACUGACGGGAGAUCUACCCCUGGUCCUAACCUUCAAGCCUCCUCCAAAGACCUUCUUUUUGCGAAUCGGCGAUCAACUGACUACCUGUCGCUGCGGUGGACUCUGGUCGAGAAACCCCAGCCAUUGGUUAGACUCGAGCCUUCGUCCGUAUUUGGGCUGCCUUCCCGGCUACGAAACCAAAGCUGGAGCCUAAUUCGUGUGUAACGAGAAAUAAAAAAAGGUUGUCUACUCUCAUUCCGUCUCAGUCAUGAUGACGCCCGAGCAGAGGUUUGCCACCUUUGUGCAAACACGAAUGUAUCGGGACUUGCUGCGAUUACGCGAUUAUAUUCACGGCGAUAGCUGCGAGGGAGACUUUCGCUCGAUUCUCAAGACGAUACCCUUACGUCUGUUCACCGUCAGUGGGAAGAUUGCGAAGAAAAUGAAGCGUUUCGUAGAUUACAAGCUCGAGCUGCUGGAGAAGUAUA